AAAUCACUUCUGUUGUGCUCUGUCCUUCUGUUGUAGUAGAUGGAGAGGUACCUGUUGUCAGCACUGUAGUUUCUGCAGUAGAAGUAGGGAUUUCUGUUGUUGUUGAAAUCACUUCUGUUGUGCUCUGUCCUUCUGUUGUAGUAGAUGGAGAGGUACCUGUUGUCAGCACUGUAGUUUCUGCAGUAGAAGUAGGUACUUCUGUUGUUGUUGAAAUCACUUCUGUUGUGCUCUGUCCUUCUGUUGUAGUAGAUGGAGAGGUACCUGUUGUCAGCACUGUAGUUUCUGCAGUAGAAGUAGGUACUUCUGUUGUUGUUGAAAUCACUUCUGUUGUGCUCUGUCCUUCUGUUGUAGUAGAUGGAGAGGUACCUGUUGUCAGCACUGUAGUUUCUGCAGUAGAAGUAGGUACUUCUGUUGUUGUUGAAAUCACUUCUGUUGUGCUCUGUCCUUCUGUUGUAGUAGAUGGAGAG